GGCGUACUACUUUCCUCCUUCUCCUGUCUGAGAGUCCUUCCAAGAGCGGUUGCUGGUCUCUUCUACUCCUAGUGUGUAUUGUUUCCUGCAUACACAAGAAACACACCCUAAAAGCACUUUUACAGAAAAUAAAAGAAAAUUAAACAAAACAAAAUAAAAACAAAUAAUUACAAAUAAGUCAAAUGUCAAUCAAUUCACACUACUAAAAUAACCUCGAGUCCCCGACAAUGGCGC
rnacentral:lncRNA from 1 species